rnacentral:rRNA from 1 species
CCUACGGGUGGCAGCAGUGAGGAAUAUUGGUCAAUGGUCGGGAGACUGAACCAGCCAAGCCGCGUGAGGGAGGAAGGUACAGAGUAUCGUAAACCUCUUUUGUCAGGGAACAAAGACUGGGACGCGUCCCCGGAUGAGUGUACCUGAAGAAAAAGCAUCGGCUAACUCCGUGCCAGCAGCCGCGGUAAUACGGAGGAUGCGAGCGUUAUCCGGAUUUAUUGGGUUUAAAGGGUGCGGAGGCGGGCUGUUAAGUCAGCGGUGAAAGGCCCGGGCUCAACCCCGGACCUGCCGUUGAAACUGGCAGUCUAGAGAUGGAGAGAAGUAGGCGGAAUGCGCGGUGUAGCGGUGAAAUGCAUAGAGAUCGCGCAGAACACCGAUUGCGAAGGCAGCAUGCC